rnacentral:rRNA from 1 species
GACGAACGCUGGCGGCGUGCCUAACACAUGCAAGUCGAACGGAGAUAUUCCUUCGGGGAUAUCUUAGUGGCGGACGGGCGAGUAACGCGUGAGUAACCUGCCCUUUAGUGGGGAAUAACGGCUGGAAACGGUCGCUAAUACCGCAUAAUAUAUUUGAAUGGCAUCGUUUGAAUAUCAAAGGAGCAAUUCGCUGAAGGAUGGACUCGCGUCCGAUUAGCUAGUUGGUGAGGUAAUGGCUCACCAAGGCGACGAUCGGUAGCCGAACUGAGAGGUUGAUCGGCCGCAUUGGGACUGAGACACGGCCCAGACUCCUACGGGAGGCAGCAGUGGGGGAUAUUGCACAAUGGAGGAAACUCUGAUGCAGCAACGCCGCGUGAGGGAAGAAGGUCUUCGGAUUGUAAACCUAAGUAGUCAGGGACGAAUAAUGACGGUACCUGAAGAGUAAGCUCCGGCUAACUACGUG